rnacentral:rRNA from 1 species
CUACGGAGGGUGCAAGCGUUAUCCGGAUUCAUUGGGUUUAAAGGGUACGUAGGCGGAUAGAUAAGUUAGUGGUGAAAUCCCGAAGCUCAACUUCGGAACUGCCAUUAAAACUGUCUAUCUUGAAUUUGGUUGAAGUGGGCGGAAUAUGACAUGUAGCGGUGAAAUGCAUAGAUAUGUCAUGGAACACCGAUAGUGAAGACAGCUCACUAAGCCAAUAUUGACGCUGAGGUACGAAAGCAUGGGUAGCGAACAGGAUUAGAAACCCCAGUAGUCC